rnacentral:tRNA from 1 species
GCCCGAGUGGUGGAAUGGUAGACACGACGGAUUCAAAAUCCGUUGCCGCAAGGCGUGCCGGUUCAAGUCCGGCCUCGGGUA